ACCUGGGUGGCUUAGUCAGUAAAGUGUCUGACUUCAGCUCAGGUCAUGAUCUCAUGGUCUGUGGGUUUGAGCCCUACACCAGGCU
rnacentral:tRNA from 1 species